rnacentral:rRNA from 1 species
UACGUAGGUGGCAAGCGUUAUCCGGAUUUAUUGGGCGUAAAGGGAACGCAGGCGGUCUUUUAAGUCUGAUGUGAAAGCCUACGGCUUAACCGGAGUAGUGCAUUGGAAACUGGGAGACUUGAGUGCAGAAGAGGAGAGUGGAACUCCAUGUGUAGCGGUGAAAUGCGUAGAUAUAUGGAAGAACACCAGUGGCGAAAGCGGCUCUCUGGUCUGUAACUGACGCUGAGGUUCGAAAGCGUGGGUAGCAAACAGG